ACUGGAGACCCUCAGGAUCAAUGACGAGCCGAUCAGAGCCACGAUCCAGAAGACCUGUGACAGGAAGUGAAGACACACAGAAAGGUCCCAGAGGGUUACCUGUUGACCCGUGUCCAUCUCAAAAUGGUCCACAGGCAUCCCAUAAUCCUGUGUUUGGGGGGGAGACGUUCUCCCUGUGAUCAAAGCACUGGGUUCAUCACCCCGGGUUCAUUUAAAGGUCUCCUAUCAUGCAAAAUGCACUUUUUGAUGUCUUUUAUACAUAAAUAUGUGUCCCCGGUGUGU